CGGGAUGUAGCUCAGCUUGGUAGAGCACCUGGUUUGGGUCCAGGGGUCGCAUGUUCGAAUCGUGUCAUCCCGA
rnacentral:tRNA from 1 species